CGCAAUGUUUCCGAGUUCUUAGCCCAUUUGGGACCCAAUUUCAACAAGUCUUUCUACACACUUCUAAACACUCUUCAUGCAUCUGUAGCACUUGUAAUCAAUCAAAUUCAUUGUAUUCUAACAUAUUCUAACCCCAAACAACACUAGAUAAGUCAUUUAGUGGUUCAACGCAAUAUUUCCGAGUUUUUAGCCCAUUUGGGACCCAAUUUCAACAAGUCUUUCUCCAUA
rnacentral:lncRNA from 1 species